GUUUUAUCCACUGCCUUGGCACAAAAGUGCAAUGCAAGCUUUCUUUUGAAGUCCACUAGGAUUUCCUUAAAUUUAUGAUCAGAUAGUUGCAAGCAAUGAAAUUAUCAUCUCCCAUGUGAGAGGAGACAGCAUCCUGCACAGACCAUUUCCAGCAAAGGUUGUUUAAGACAACCCUUUUUAUUUUGCAGUGCAAGAUGCUGGAAGCACAGUAGCUUUGAAUUUCUUCAGUUCAGCUAAAGUUUGAACUUCCCCAGUGCUUUCAGCAUCUCUGCAUGUAGCAUGUGCUUCAGCACCCGAUCAUGCUGAUGGCCUUUGGCUGAGCUCUCCCUGGGAUGUCAGCAAACCAUGUUGCAUCUUGUUGGUGCCAUCAGCUAUGAGUGUGGACAUUUACUUUGGCCCAGAGAGAGGGGAAUAAGCUAUAUUCCAAAUAACCUCUGGACUAUGUACUUGAAUUAAAGAACAUAAAGGAGCGAGCAGCGCCAUGUAAGCAGCUGUGGACUGGCAUGAAGAUAGAUGGUGUCUGGGACGAGACGGGGCAAAAAGAAAAGAAGCAAAAGGUUUUUUCCAUUGCGGCAGAGCUCUGUCAUGGACGUGGCGUCGGGAGCUGUGGAGGCUGUGCCUGUGGGGAGGGUAGGUUGUGGGGUCUCAGUGCCUUGGGGCAGGGAUUUCCUAUCUGCUGUUGCUCUGGAAAGGGAGCUCCACUGCUGUUCUCCACGCAUGUGCAAGGACCUGCUGCUUCUUACAAGCUUUUGCCAUCCAAACUCCUCCAUGCCUAAGGACACCUGCUGGGCCCGGGGGCAGCAAGGUGUGCACUUGGCUUUGUUCACGAGGAUAAUCUCCUUUUGCUCUGCCCAUUGGGCUUUGAGCAAACCUACUCCAUCCCCCAGGCUCUUUCCCUCAGGUUUAAGGAUAUUGCUUGUGCUCCUGCAGUCUGGAAAUAUUUGUGAGGAUCUUGGUUGGGCUGGAGCUUAG
rnacentral:lncRNA from 1 species